rnacentral:misc_RNA from 1 species
GAUGAAGAACGUAGCGAAAUGCGAUAAGUAAUGCGAAUUGCAGAAUUCAGUGAGUCAUCGAAUCUUUGAACGCACAUUGCGCCCUGUGGUAUUCCGCAGGGCAUGCCUGUUCGAGCGUCAUUUCAACCCUCAAGCUCUGCUUGGUGUUGGGCCCUGCCCGCUGCGGCCGGCCCUAAAGACAGUGGCGGUGCCGCCUGGCCCUGAGCGUAGUACAUCUCUCGCUCCAGUGCCCGGUGGUAGCCUGCCAGAACCCCAACUCUCGUGGUUGACCUCGGAUCAGGUAGGGAUACCUGCUGAACUUAAGCAUAUCAAUAAGCGGAGGA